UACGUAGGCAGCGAGCGUUGUUCGGAAUUCCUGGGCGUAAAGAGUGUGUAGGCGGUGCUCUAAGUUCGGUGUGAAAUCUCCCGGCUUAACUGGGAGGGUGCGCCGGAAACUGGAGUGCUCGAGCGUGGGAGAGGAAAGCGGAAUUCCUGGUGUAGCGGUGAAAUGCGUAGAUAUCAGGAGGAACACCUGCGGUGUAGACGGCUUUCUGGACCAUUGCUGACGCUGAGACACGAAAGCGUGGGUAGCAAACAGG
rnacentral:rRNA from 1 species